AUUGAACGCUGGCGGCAGGCCUAACACAAGCAAGUCGAGCGGAUGAGUGGAGCUUGCUCCAUGAUUCAGCGGCGGACGGGUGAGUAAUGCCUAGGAAUCUGCCUGGUAGUGGGGGACAACGUUUCGAAAGGAACGCUAAUACCGCAUACGUCCUACGGGAGAAAGUGGGGGAUCUUCGGACCUCACGCUAUCAGAUGAGCCUAGGUCGGAUUAGCUAGUUGGUGAGGUAAAGGCUCACCAAGGCGACGAUCCGUAACUGGUCUGAGAGGAUGAUCAGUCACACUGGAACUGAGACACGGUCCAGACUCCUACGGGAGGCAGCAGUGGGGAAUAUUGGACAAUGGGCGAAAGCCUGAUCCAGCCAUGCCGCGUGUGUGAAGAAGGUCUUCGGAUCGUAAAGCACUUUAAGUUGGGAGGAAGGGCAGUAAGUUAAUACCUUGCUGUUUUGACGUUACCAACAGAAUAAGCACCGGCUAACUUCGUGCCAGCCGCCGCCGUAAAAC
rnacentral:rRNA from 1 species